rnacentral:rRNA from 1 species
AUUGAACGCUGGCGGCAUGCUUUACACAUGCAAGUCGAACGGCAGCGCGGGCUUCGGCCUGGCGGCGAGUGGCGAACGGGUGAGUAAUGCAUCGGAACGUGCCCGGUAGUGGGGGAUAGCCCGGCGAAAGCCGGAUUAAUACCGCAUACGACCUGAGGGUGAAAGCGGGGGACCGAAAGGCCUCGCGCUAUUGGAGCGGCCGAUGUCGGAUUAGCUAGUUGGUGGGGUAAAGGCUUACCAAGGCGACGAUCCGUAGCUGGUCUGAGAGGACGACCAGCCACACUGGGACUGAGACACGGCCCAGGCUCCUACGGGAGGCAGCAGUGGGGAAUUUUGGACAAUGGGGGCAACCCUGAUCCAGCCAUGCCGCGUGCGGGAAGAAGGCCUUCGGGUUGUAAACCGCUUUUGUUCGGGAAGAAAUCCUCUGGGCUAAUACCCCGGGGGGAUGACGGUACCGGAAGAAUAAGCACCGGCUAACUACGUG